GAUGUGAAGUGCUUUUGCCAGAUGAUGGUCCUCUGGACACGGUAAAUAAGCGGUCAGCCUGAGGUGCCUGAAAUUUAGCUCUUAUAAUUAAUGUGACGGUUCUGUAAAUGUCUUUAUUAUUCGUUUGCUGGGGCCUCUCUAGUUCAUUGGUCAGCUGUAUCCCCAUUUCUAUUCCUUCCAGUACCAUGUCCAGAUACUAUGUCUCGGUAUAGCCAAGUGCCCAAGUGCAACUGGUCAAACUUGUAUUUGGAAACUGGUGAACUCGAAAAUGUAGAAUGUUUCAUCAGAUCAUUGAUUGACCUGAAGAUACUUCUGACUAAUGUUCUUUUG
rnacentral:sRNA from 1 species